AUUGGACGCUGGCGGCAGGCCUAACACAUGCAAGUCGAGCGGAUGAAGGGAGCUUGCUCCUGGAUUCAGCGGCGGACGGGUGAGUAAUGCCUAGGAAUCUGCCUGGUAGUGGGGGAUAACGUCCGGAAACGGGCGCUAAUACCGCAUACGUCCUGAGGGAGAAAGUGGGGGAUCUUCGGACCUCACGCUAUCAGAUGAGCCUAGGUCGGAUUAGCUAGUUGGUGGGGUAAAGGCCUACCAAGGCGACGAUCCGUAACUGGUCUGAGAGGAUGAUCAGUCACACUGGAACUGAGACACGGUCCAGACUCCUACGGGAGGCGGCAGUGGGGAAUAUUGGACAAUGGGCGAAAGCCUGAUCCAGCCAUGCCGCGUGUGUGAAGAAGGUCUUCGGAUUGUAAAGCACUUUAAGUUGGGAGGAAGGGCAGUAAGUUAAUACCUUGCUGUUUUGACGUUACCAACAGAAUAAGCACCGGCUAACUUCGUG
rnacentral:rRNA from 1 species